GCAUAAUCAUUUGACUUUUAAAUGAAGCCUGGAAUGAAAGAAAGAACGUAAACAAAUUGUCUCAUUAGCACUGUUUUUAACUUUCUGUAGGAGUGAAAAUACUCUUAAUUUUUAAAAAUAGACGAGAAGACCCUUAGAAUUUUUAAAAUAUAUAAGUAGAAUCUUGUAAAUUUUUUUGUUGGGGCAACAAUAUUUCAUAUAAAUAAAUAUUUUACUUUAAUGAUAGGUCGAUUAAAUAAUUAUAGUAAAAUUACCUAAGGGAUAACAGCAUAAUUUUAGAAAUAAGCUUGUGACCUCGAUGUUGGACUAGGUACUAUUAAAGCUAAUCGUUUUAAUAAAAUAUGU
rnacentral:rRNA from 1 species